rnacentral:lncRNA from 1 species
GGGUGGUUUGUGAAAAUUUGGGAAAGAAACAUUGCCAUCACCUGAUACAAAUGGUUUCUUCCAUGGAAGUAGGGUUCGUGUAGUUUGUGAGCUAUGCAAGACAUGAGGCUUCAACAUUUUGUCAAGAAUGAGUAUCUAACUAGCAAGAUGAUCAAAGGAACCUUUUUUUUUGCUUUUUUUUUUUGGGUAAGAUUGCUUGAGCUGGGACUAUGGCUGGGUGUGUGAGAAUUGUUGAGAAAGAGUAGUAUAAAUAGAGCCAAGGGAGGGGAAUGGGAGAUUUGCAGUGGAUUUGUUUGCCGAUUUAAUUCUUGGAGUCACGACAAUUACCAAAUAGUGAACUCGUUGAUUGAUGGUUGGAGCUUGGAAACCUUCACCUACUUUUUUUUUUGUUACUUCUUGUUUGUUUUUUGGGCUGAAUAAAAAGUCAAUUAUGAUGGUAUUUUCAUUUAAUUAGUUCACAUUGUUUUAGAUCUUGAUUUUGGAAAAUUAGUUUAGUGAAGACGAUGUUCCAAUUGCUUUUCUUUCUAAACUUCAGAAUUUUCAACAAGCAAAAACAAGUUUUAAUGGAGAACCUAUCUAAUAGUACUAACUUUUGUUGAUUCUAAUUAAUAUUCCUUUCGUCCCAUAUAUUUAGUCAUGUUCGGAAAUAUGUACUCCCUCCGUCCCAUAUAUUUAGUCAUAUUUGAGAAUUAUGUACUUUUUAUACAUAGUACACACAACCAAAAAAAUUUUGCUUUUUUUUCCACUUUUGCCCUUAAUCAUGUGUUGGUCAAAAUAAAAAAUAUGAAGUAAUUAGCAAUUCCAUCACAUUUGUUUUUAUGCAUCAUUAAUGAAGGGCAUAAGGGAAAUUUUAAAGUAUAAAGUAAUUAUAAAUGUCAAACAUGACAAAUAUUUUGGAAUAACCAAAAAGAAAAGUACAGCACUUUCAAUGGGACGGAUAAAGUACUUUUUAUGCAUAGUAUACUCCAUCAAAAAGUUUUUCUUUUCGUUUCACUUUUAUCCUUAGUAAUUUGUUGGUCAAAAUAAAGAGUAAAAAGCAAUUCCAUCACAUUUAUUUUUAUGCAUCAUUAAUGAAAAAUAUAAAGGAAAUUUCAGAGUAUAAAAUAAUUAAAAAUAUUAAAUAUGAUAAAUAUUUUGAAUAAAAAAAAAUACGACCCUUUUAAUAAGAAAGAAAUUUUUUUUUUUUUUGCACCAAAAUUGGAGCAAACCGAAAAAGCCACCAUCGCUUUCACGAGAGAUCGCAGAAAACAGUCAUAGGCUGUUCACCGAGCGGAUGGGACCAACCUUAGCUGAACAAAUUAAAAUAUCCAAUAUGCUACUUACUCCAUUCAUCAAUGACGUGACCAAUCAAAGAUAAUAAUCUCGGCUCUGUUUGGCUUGACUUGAAGCCAAGCUUACCAUGACUGAGGGGAAGGAAAACGAUCACAUUGCUAUUGUUCGUCCUUUAUGGCAAUUUCAUAGCUUCAACCAAGAGCUUUUUCAUUCCGUGGAAAGGAGCAGAUGCAGCCAGGAAACCUUCGGUCUUUGGCCCCCACAAUAGUCAUUUCAUUUCUGAAUUUAGGGACAAUUUCAGAAACCUCCCUUGAGGUUUUCAAUAAUUGCACUAACCUCCCUUGAGAUUUGUAAAAUUACACUAACCUCUCCUAAGGUUAAGAUUUUGGUAACAAAAUUAGUCCAAAUCAGAAAAAAUACCAUUAGAAAAGUACUUUGAAAAAAGAGAUAAAAUUUUUAUUCCACAAAUGCUCUUUAUGCUUAUGUACAAGUUGUAUUGUAAAGAAAUGAAAAAUAUAUUGAUAAAAGUGUGGGAAGGUAAGUGCAAAUAGCAAAAAACAAGAAAUUAGUAGCAACUGACUUUCACUACAAAGUUGGACCAACGGUUAAUGCAUUGGAUUACAACGGAUAUUUUUUUAGGUCUUUACCAUUUUGCAUAUAAAAUACAACAAGAAACAUAAAGAUGGAUAUCACUUUCACUUGAAGCAGCAAAAGUUGAUGUGAAAAAUAAUGAUUUUGUGGGGAUUUGGCAAGCUGAAGGUGAAGCAUAUGUGUAAAAACUAUGACCCUGUCAAUCUAUAGGAGGAAAUCGUAAAAUCCACCCACAUCCUUUAACACAAAGAAUAAAUAUUGCAAGUGCAAUUGCAAAACAAUUGUGAAGAUUUUUGAAAGUACAAAAAUCCAGACAAAUUAUUGUUUGAUGUAUCAAUUUGGUGUAUCAAUUUUUUAGAGUGAACAAAUAUUUGGUACAUCAAUGGGUAGCAUUUUGUAAUUGCAUGUUACUGUUCAUCAUUAAAAAAAUCUCCAAUAGUUAUUUUUGCUAAUUAGUUACUAAUAGUUAAUUAGUGCCCUAAUUACUUAAUUUUCAAAUGUUAUUUUCAAUGAGUCAUAAUAUCAUAGGGUAUAUGGGUAAUUUUUCCCCAAUAAGACACUACAGGAUAGGUUAGUGUUAUUUUGUAAAUCUCAGGGAAGGCGAAUGAAAAUGUCAAAAAUCUUAGGGGACGUUUAUUGUGAAUUUAUCAUAACCAAAGGGACAGGAAUAAUUAUCAGUGCAAAUAUUUCAAAUAGUAAAGUAAUGAUUUGACUUAAAAGUUGAAUGUUGAAAAGGGUUAAUAACACUUUGCCCCCCCUAAAAGGGAGACCUAGCCGUCUUCCAAAAAGAGCUGCAUCGAGAGGUGUUUCGGCUUAUAUUCCUACUGAUGUAAUUUCCAUUACUAAUGUACAAAUUGUCCUAUUUGCCGAUCUAUUCAAUAGUAUGACGAGCAGUGUGUACAAGACUUGGGAACGGAUUCAGUGUGGUAUGGUUGCCCGCGAUUACUAUUGAAUAGUUAUUCCAGAUGCUCUCCAAAUCUAGAAAAAAAAAAAAAGAAGUUAUUUGUAUUCCAUUUGGAGUUUGUGUCAAGUAUUUUAUUUGAAAAACGAAAAAUAGACUACUUGAAUAUGUUGACAAUUCCUUCCUUUUGUUGUAAGUUUAUCUUUAAUCAAAUUGAUCCUAUUGAAGUAAAAGUUACAACUUACAACAACAGGUAUUUAACAAAUUAAUCCAUAAAAUGUAUUAGAAAAUAUACACAAUAUAUAUCAAUAUAUAAAAUUUGAUAAUUCAGUUGUCAAGAAUUCAAUACUUUACAUCCCACAUCGGUUCUUGGGGGGGUUUGGGUUUGGGUUUAUAAGUCCCUGGGAGGACCUCAAAAGUUGCCGGCUUUUGAGGUUACUUCUGAGAUUAGGUUUAUAAAAGCCGAAUUUCGGACUUUCUGUUCGAAAAGGUCAAGAAUUCAAUACUUUACUUUUAAUGUCCAUUCUCAAACUGUUUUAUCAAAUUUUAAUUAGAAAUUCAAUAGUCGAAUUUGAAUAUCUAUUCCAGAACUGUUUUACCAAACUUUAAAGUUUGGAUAUCAAUCAAUUUUAUCGAUUUUUGUUUGACUUACAUCUACUAUCUAAUCUAAAUUGGAUCUAUCGAUUUUUCAACUUAUUUUUAAGUAUAAACACUCCUAACUGUGUGUUGUUUUUAAAGAAAGCCCCUAAAACUAAAUGUGACUUCUACUCCUCAAUAGAUGUACUUUACAAAUUAUUAUUAUUUAUCAACAGCAUAGGAAUAUCAGUUUAUCAACAACAUAAGGGUAGAAUUGUCAACAUUUUUAAGCAGUCCAUUUUCCUAGAUUUCUAUUUUUGGGAAUCAUUUAGAUUGCCAUUUUUGAGAAUUUUUAUAAAAAAAUAUUAUAAUAAUUUGAUAUAUAUAAAUUAAAAGAAUAAUUAAAAAAUAUGUUUACAGAAAAUAUAAAAAUUAUUUUACAAAAAAUCAUAAUCCAGAGACAAGACCAGGUAGUGAAAAUCACUUUUCACUCUACAGUUUGGUUCACGUGCAAUAGCAAAAUAAAAUAAGGGGACACAAGCACCCAAGGGUUUCACAGCAGAUAACCUAUUGCUGUCUUGCCUGCGCUGCCGGAGGAUAUUGUACAAAGUAAUUUACAAUAAUAAUUAAUAAGGUAAAGUGUAUCACCGGUCAUCAAACCUUUUCAAAAUCUAACUCAUUGUACUAUUUUUUGCGUUAAUUGAUCAACUAAAUUUUUAAAAAUAAUCAAUUGGCUCAUUCUAUUUAUUUGCUGUAUCAAAAUAUAUCACGACAUGAAACACGAUAUAUAGAGGUGUUCUUGUCAGUCCAUAGAUGAAAAAUACUAUUAUUGACUAAAUGAGACAUUAAAAAACUUUAGUGACCAUUGGUGCACUUUUCUUGAUUGAUGUUUUUAAAAGUAAAGAGGAAUAAGGAAAAAACAAUUAUUAGCAACAUUUAUAAUGAACCCGAAUGAUCCUUGCACUUAUAAAUCUUUUGAGAAAGUAAUAAAAGUAUUUUGGUAACAAAUUGGAUUUAUAUUUUGAAAAACUACAAAGAAAAGCAACUAAGAUGAAAUCAUUCAGGAAAUAUAUUGUAUUGGGAAAUCGGUAAUGAAAAAAAAAUUUAUAUUGAACAAAUUCCGUCUAUUUUAAUUGAACAAUUUAGCAGAAUGGUCUAACUAAUCACUUUUAAGAGUUUAGUCGGUCAAUUAACAUAAAAAAUAGUAUAACGAGUUAGAUGAGACAUUGCCCUUUGGGCUCAGAUCGGCUGGCUAUGGGAUAAUCUCAUUGGGUUCCAAAUUGUGUGGUCGACUCUAGCUCUACUACCGUCUCGUGUAUCUUUGGGGGAUGGGGUGCACGGACGCAGGAAGAUUAGUCUGACAAAAAGUUAGGACACUCCCUAUGUUGAUAAAAAAAAAAAAAAAAGAGUUAGAUGAGACAUUUAAAAAAAAAAAUUUACUGCCUCAUAGUUACAUAAAGAUGUAUGAUUUACAAUAUGUUAAGAACUUUUUACAACGUUUUGGGUCGGUUACAACCGACAACCCACCUGGCGACCCCGCACUUGCCCAAAAUCUUCUUUAAUCUGCACAAUAUCUUCUUUAAUCAAAUUUAUGGGUCCUCACUCUCCGGACAACAUCAUCAUUUGCCACCAGGCCAGGUUUGGAUUGGAGGUCAAGCUUCAAGGAUCGUACGAUUCUAUGCGACCUACCGAUCCUAUCUCGAUCCUACGUAGAUUCAAGAAAUUUGCAUUUCUCAGUACGAUUUGGAUCGAUCUUACCUUUUUGGAUCGUACGAUCGUACGAUCCUACGAUUCGGAUCGUGAUUUUAACAAUCAUGACUUUUAUAUUCUACUAAUUUAUUAUUAUAUAUGACUAUUUUUAGUAAUUUUCUUCGAUGGAGUUUCUACUUUUAUCGGCUCCUUCUCUUCCUAAAUUAGUAUAUAUUAUGUUAUAGAAAUAUUAUUGUAGCGACGAAAAAAAAAGACGACUUCAUCGUCUAUUGUAGAAAUCUUGGACGCAUUCCAGUAACGGAGCCUUCUUGUCUUCAUUAAUUAUUCUGCUGGCUUAUUAAUUUCUUUUAUAUUUAAACCUCCAACACCAAAUUGCCUAUUUGCCUCUUUCUUCUCCAUCCAAAUAGAUCCUGGUGCAACUAGAUAGCUUUAUUAAUCUUUUUUUAUAUAUAAUAAAAAGUUUGAAUGGAUUCGACUGUGAUUACAAUCACGCUGCAAUUAAAUAGUUUUAUUAUUCUUUUUUUCGAUAAUAAGAAGUCUGAGUAGGUUCGGCUUUAAUUACUAUUACGGGUCAGGGCAUGUUUUCAGUACUAUAAGUCAUUUAUAAAGAUUGUUACAGAUAUUCCAACAACACAACUCUCAUAUUGAGAGCGAAAUUCGAACACAUGAUUUUUUACGAGGAAAUUGCCUGUCGUUGUCAAUUGAGUCAACUUGUGUUGACAACUAGAUAGUUUUAUAUAAAAGAAUUUCCUAUUUUUCUAAAUUAUAGGAAUUGUAAUAUGAACUACAAGAAAAUGCAUGUAUCCAAUCUUUUUAGAUACCAAGUCUGACAUGGUUGGAAUCAUAUUAUCCAUCUUGACGCUGUAAUCUGAACUACGUAGAAAAUGUAUGUAUCUAAUCUUUUUAGAUACCAAGUUUGACAAAGUUUAAAUCAUAUUAUCCAUCUUGACGCUAAAUGCACGAAAGAAAUGAUGAGGCACUAGAUGAAUAGAAGUUCCAACUAAGUCUUCUAAUUCAUCAUUAAAUAUAAAAAUUAUCAGUAAAAGAAUUCUUUUUCUAGAAUUUUCUUCACCUGAUUCUCGUAUGGAGUGUCUUGAAGCAAGUAUUAUUGGUAAACAAUAAAUAUGUUACUGUACUUGUUAUUCAUUUCUAUAGCGGCACCUUUUUCUCAUUUUUUUUUUGUCAUACAGUGAAUUAUUUACCAAAAUUUAUUUGCUUAUAUCAACAUAUUUUUCAAUCACUUUUUUUUAUCUCAUAUACAUCAUAUCAAAAAAAUCUUAUACAAUUUUUUUUCAAAAAAAACUAUUCCAAAUAAUCUACUAUUCUAACACACUCAAUGUGGGACUCUUUAUUUUGCUUGGAAAUUGCAAAGAAAUGAAGUAUGCGUUCGUCACCUUCAUUUUACGUAUCACGUUAAUUUCUAUGUUUAUCACGAAAUGUUUGUACUGAUAAAAGUACAUAAAGAUCCCUUUCAGACAAAUUCCAAAUAAAAAAAUGUUGAAGUCCUAAAUAAUUACUUAACAUUAAAAUGGUGUCAUGUGUAAAAACUAUAAAAUUUGUGCUGAUUUUUUGUAGUUAAAAUUCAGUUUUUUCAAUUAGAUGCCCUAGACUAUUAAACAAAAAUGGGAAAAGAAUAAUUAAUAGCCAAAAGAAUUCAUCAUAAUCUUUAAUUUUUUUUAUGACCUGAGCACGUGCAGGUAAAAAUAAAUAAAAACGUUUGCACAAAUAGUGUAAGACUUGACAACCUCCAUUUUUACUUUCUCAGGAUCGUUUAUAUUCUACGGAAAUAAUGUGCUGUAAAUUUCUAACCAUCAUGCAAAAAAACAUGUUCUAAUAGUCACCAUCUACUCUAUUGUCAAGGGAACCAGUGGCAGUAUAUUACUAUAUUAUCAAGCGGACCAUUGCUGUAAAUUUCUAACCAAAAUGCCAAAAACAUGUUCUACUAGUCACCAUCUACUCUUUUGUCAAGCGGGGACCAUUGGCAGUAUAUUAUCAAUGUCACCAUCUACUCUAAUAUUACUCCUACUCCUACUCUAAUUUAUGGGUGAUCCAACUAGAUCAAGAGAUAUCAAUCUUUACUAUCUACUAACCUAUUCUAUCUUAAUCUACAGGGAAAAGAGAAUUUAAGGAAACUUAUGCAUUAAGGACUAGUAGAUAUGCAAAUCUAACUAAAUCAAAAAGGUGCUUUGUCACCACUCUUAACUUUUUUUUUUUGCUAUAAAUGAGAUUUGAAUUCUCACUUACAGUCCAAGGAGGGACUUAAGUCCCUCCGUGGCGGCCGCUGAGUGAAGCUCAAUGGUUUAGUGGUAGUUGGUUCAUUGACAGUAGUACUUUCUUAAUGAUAUAAAAUUAAGACAAUUGGCAGUACUUUCCUGCUGAGUACAAAGUUAGGAAAAUAUCUUGUGACACUGAGGAUGUCCUUUAUUGGAGCUUGAUAACAAGUGCAUUGACCUUCUAUCUCCAACUUUCUCUUAUAUUUGCUCCUGUGCCAUUGAAUACGUGGGUACAACGUAAAUUCCUACAUUUACUUAAUAUAACAUUGCGUAAUUGCUUAGCGUCAUUAUCCACAUGGUACAAAUUCAUUGGGAUGGUUUUCUGUCAUCAACGUUAAAUCAUUUAUCAUUCUUAAUUGCAGAAUGAUCUUCACACGCAAUGGUAUGAUUAAUGGUAUGGUUCUUGAUUCUACAAUUUUUCUUUGCGAUCACAUUAUGAUUUGGACUAUGCACACAGAAUCAUCGCAUUUGGGGAGUCUGAAUCAGUGUUAUCUUUUCAUGCCUCACUUUAACAGCUAUCAAAGUACCAAUAGGGAUUUUUGAAGCUUUUUAAGAACUUUUGGUUUUGGUAACAAAUUAUGACAUGGAGUACUGCAUAAAAGUGAGUCGUGAAUAAAUUUCUCAUCCAAUUUUUGGAGGCAAGCAACGAUCAAGUCUUUUUGAACUUGAAUAAACCACCACGAUGAAACUUAUGCUUGAAAAGGAACUCCCAAGAACUGAAAAAUUCGUUCGAUGUUUAUUUCUAUUUGCAAUAAGAUAUUAGGUCUACUAGUAGAACAAAUCAAUAUAUCGUGUAAAGUAUACAUAGUUACAUGGAUUCAUGCAUGCAUGCAUACAUACAUAAAGUCCGUGAUUGGAUAGAAUCAUGAACUAUAGCGUGUAAAUGGUUGUUUUUCUAGGUUGCUUGUUUGUCAAAGUGGAAAUUGGAUUUUUUUUUUUAAUUUUAACCUUUCAAGCCUUCCCCCAACGAUAGAUUCAAGAUUCAAAUAUUAAAUUUGACAGCAGGAAAAACUAAGUGCACUUUCUUGACCACGAGGCCAACCCCAGUGAUAAUUGAAGAUUAUUUACAAGAAUUUGAUAAUAUUAAAUGAUUUUCUCAAUCAGUUAAAUAAAACGGUCUUAUUGUAGUUUUCCCACGAGACAAAAUAACACGCAUCAAGAAGCAUAUAUAUAAAUCCCACUCCCACUCCCACAUAAAAAUACAUUUUAUCAUCUUUCUUACAUGAUAUAUGUAAAUAAAAAGGUUGAUGGAAAUUGUAUCAAGAAAAUAUUCUCGCAAUUUUUUGUUUUGACGGAAGAAAGGAGAAUGAGAUAUAGUUUCUUACGCAUUUCCGAAUAGUAAUACUUCGUUUACAUGAAAACACCUUCACCAACCUAUUUUAGUGCAAAGUUAAUCACCAGAAUUAAGAGAGUGAAUAUAAUUGGUGUUUUGGGGGUUACUUUGAAAAAAAUGGAUAAAAAAAGGUGUUUAAAUGUAGAAAGGAAAAGUAAAUGCGUGUGUUUAUAUCCAAAAGAUAAAUUAAAUGUAAAUUAAGUGUACUAGUCGGCCAUGUUUUAUCAUCCAUUUACAAAAUACUCUUAACAAUUCUAUAAACUUAUUCUCAUUUCAAAGGAGAGUGACCAAAUGGUUUGAAGUGAUUGGGACAAUUCAAACAAGAACGUGUCUUUCACGGGAACUUGUGGUCCAAACUCUUAUUUGUAGUUAGCUAAAAGUCCGACACUAAAAUACAAAACAGGCCCAUGCUUAUAGAUUCUAAAAUGAGGAAAAUGGUUUGCAUGCCAUGGAAUAGCUUUCCUCGGAUUUAUCAGAUGCUAUCAUAUCCACCCCUCAUUUAGAUAUUUUGAUAAGAAGAGCAUCUAGUUUCCGCCAAGAAAACGAAAUUUAUUAUUUGAAUUGUUGAAAAUACCAAAUUUCUCAGAAUUCAUCAAUUGGAUUCUUCUAAAAAUUGACACAGGAAAGGAAAUUUAUCUAGUGUUGGAUUAUCUGCUAAAAUUUAAAUGUUUCAUGCUAAAGUCUAAAUAAUUCAGAACUUCGUGUGGUGGACCUCACAUUUUGUGGUGUAUUUGUUUGGUUCCUUUAAAGCAUAUGAUAGAAAACCUUUGUUAAGUAUAAAAAGGGAACAAAAACUGGGCAAACGCUUCAUGAAUUAUUGCCUCCUGAAAAAAAUCUGCUGAUGAGAUAUCGUCUCAGCAAUCCUGACUUGCCAAUCCACAUGUUUUCCGACAAUUUGAUGGUCCUAAUUAAUUCAUCUCCAUGCUUUGUCGGGCUUUGAUAUUUCGAGCAAAUAAUAAAGGGAUAAUUUCAGAAACCUCCCCUGAGGUUUCUGACUAUUUCACUAGCCUUUCUCCAAAUUUUGUAAAUUACACUAACCUCCCUUAAGGUUUAUUAUCUUAUAACAUUUAGAUCCAACCAAUAGUUUAAAAUGUGAUAUUAGGCAAGAGAAGAUAAUAUGAUUCCAUCAUUAUCCCUCAUCUACUAAAUUAUUUAAUUAAUCUAGUACCAGCCCAAAUAUUAAAGAAAACACUAGAAUUUACUAUUUAUCAUCAAAAAUCAAAUCACAUAUGGCAUCAAAAAUAGUAUAUCAUUCUAUAUAAGAUUUAAAUUGCUCUUUUCAAAUAUAAAUCCAUUGUCAAAUAUGAUCAUCGAAAUAUUAUAAAGAGCGGACUUUAAUACUAUAAAAAUCUCAACAACAAACCUUAAUAUGUUGAUAAGAAUAUUUAUGAUGUUAAAGUUUGUUCUUUGUAAUAUUUUGAUUGCAAAUUUUUUGAUUGUUUGUUGCUGACUAUGUUUGACAAUGGGUAUGUAAUUUAAAAGAAUAAUUUGGGUUUUAUGCUAAUUGAAAAAUAUAAAAUGAUAUGCUAUUUUUUGAUAUUAUAUGUGAUUUGAUUCCUAACGAUAAAUAGCAAAUUUUAGUAUUUUUCUUUAAUGUGUGGGUUGGCAUCAAAUAAAUUAAAUAAUAUAGUAGAUGAGGGACAAUAAUGAAAUCAUAUUAUCUUUUCUCUCCUAAUAUCACUUUUUAAAUAUUGAUUGGAUGUAAAUAUUACAAGAUAAUUAACCUUAGAGGAGAUUAGUGUAAUUUUGAAAACCUGAAGGAAGGCCAGUGAAACAGUUAGAAACCUCAGGGGAGGUUUCUGAAAUAAUCCCAAUAAUAAAUUGUUCCUUGACUGUGUAUCCAGAUUUGGAUCUAAUUUCAUUGAUGGAAUGAUUAAGGAAUGCCACGAAGCAUUUCAGUUAGCAAAAGGUACUGUAAUUGUGAAGGACUUGCAGACCAUAAGUCUGGAAUUCAUUACUCAUAAAAAAGGGGAAAAAAAUGAAGUCCACGUAUUCUCCAAAAAUGAAAUUAGUAGCAAUAAAUAUGCAUUUAAAAAUGAAAAAGAAACAACAUAGAAAGUAGAGAAACAAAUUGCAGGCAUUUUUCUCCUAUUUCAUAAUUUCUCCUUCCAUCCUUGCUCUUCAAAACUAGAAAUAGUAGAACGGAAUUUGAAACAGAUGGCACUAGGGUUGACCACCUACUUGCAUCUGACUUGCUGUCAAGUCUCUCCAGUUUUUUUUUUUUUUUUUUUUUGUUGCUUAAGCAAUUCCCGUUUUCUUCUUGUUAUUCCUAUCCGUUUCUGUUUUAAACGCUUUGUGCCUAUAAACAAGCAUUGUUAGGGAUUUGUUUGCUGGUUUUCAUCAAUUUUAAUACAACUUUGGUUGGAAUUUACGACUUUUCUUGAAUGCUCUCAAGGUUUCUUUAAUUUCUUUGAAACUUGUUAGGAAGCAGAAUGUGUUUCCCUUCGUCUGGAUUGGCUUAUGUAUCAAUUACUAUUGGGAUAAUUUCACAGACCUCCCCUAAGGUUUCUCACAAUUACAAAGAGCUCCUCUCAGGUUUUAAAAAUUAUAUAUACCUCCCCUACUUUUACUAUUUAGCAAAAAUGUAGGUCCAAGAAUUUAGAUUUUCUUUCAAAAAUCUUAAUUGCCCUUUUGUAGAAAACUAAGAAAAAAAAUACAGUAUACUUAAUCAUUUUCUUUCACAUUUUAUAUAAAUCAACAAACCAAAUCCCUAAAAACCAUCCAAGUAUAAGUUCUAAAAUCAAGUAGUCAUCCAAAGAUCCCAAAUUGCAUAUACAGUAUCAAUACUUGUGUGAUAAAAAAAAAACACGUACAAAACUCAUUGACAACCAAUUUUAUACCCCAAAUUAAAUAUCAAUGCUCAAAUACCUUUUCAAUAUAAGUUUAUUUGGCUUAGAACCAAUAUUACAACUCUCCUAUGGUCUUAAAAAUAUUAAUAUUUCAAAAUUAGAGAAUAAAUUCUACCUCCACAAUAAAAUUAUAAUAAAAAAUUUCUAAUCCAAUGAAAGAAAUCAUUAUGUAAUUAUUGACAUUUUAUAAAAAUUUUUCUUAAUAACAAACAAAAUAUGACAAAUUUCACAUUUUUAGUUCUUCUUCCUAUUUCAAUCAUCAAUUUCAUUAGUUAUUUUUCUACCAUUGUGAGUCUCUUCAUUUCCUUCUAGUUUGACACCUAAUUUACUCCUUUUGUAGAUUUUGUAAUUUCAAUUUGCUAAUAUCCCCAAAACUGAAGAUAAUAAAAAAGAGAUUAUAUUAACUAGUAAAUAGACAAGAGACAGAAAAAUAGAUUUUUUUUUUUAGGCUUUGCAAAUUUAUUGCCUUAAAUUUAAAAUUAUCUACUAAGUGGAGGGCAUUAUAGGUAUUUUACUAUAUCAAGAGAGGUAAGUCGAAUUUCUUAAACCCGAGGGGAGCUGAGUGAAAUUGUCAGAAACCUCAAAGGAGGUGUCGCGCCCCAUUUUUUCGCGAUGGCGAAAUAGAAUAAAGGUGUUUAUAAAAGAUGUGAUUUUAUUUAAAAAUAAGUGAAAAAAGGACCUAGAAUGGGACUUUAAAAAAUGCGACAAUUUGGGUUCAAAAAUUUAGUCUAAAAAGGGUUUUUUUAAGAAAAAAAGGAGUCGCCACUUGGUAUUGAGUUUGGGUGUACCAAGUCACCCCAAAAAUAUUUUUGAUAAAAAUAAGAUAAAAUAAAAACCCUUUUGACAACUCCAAGUCUUCAAAAAAACAAGAGAAAAAUGGGUUCGGGAGUCACAAUUGAAGAAAGGGAAGGCAAAUGUUCGAUUAAAUCAAACCUAAGGCACCCUUUCAACCUAGUCUAAGCUAGUUGCGAGGUUUAGUCAAAAUUUUCCUAAUCUAACCCUUAAGUUUAUCACGUUUGAAUGUUUACUACAUAGAUGCAAAUCUAAAUUUAUAAAAAUAUCGAAAGGGACAAAAUGUUCAUUCAAGGGUUUAAUUGAACCAAUCACAUUAAUUACGAAGGCUAAAAUAAUUCCUUGAAGGUGUCACGAGUAUGCAAAUGAUGAAAUUAAAAGUAAAGGAAAGAAAUUAAAUUAUAUACAUAGAUGUAAGUGAUCAAAGAAAAAGGGAAUGCAACAUAAAGGGCACGGGAGGCAAAAACUCGUGACAUAAUUUUCUUAUACAGGGAUUAAUGGGAUAUUUAAACUAAAAAGCUAUAAUCACCCAUUUCCCAUGUUUGAAAAAUAAUUAUCCUAACAUGAACAAGCAAAUAAACUAGCUUAAAUGAGAUGCAAUUCUAAAUGACAUGAUUAGCACCUAUAGCGGGUAGGGGAUAAUAUAAUAGGGAAUAUGAGAAAAGAUCCUAAAAAUGAAAAUAUGCAUGAAAAUGUAGUGAAUAGUACACAAAGAUAAAUCUAGCGCAAGACGACCUAAAGGGUCUAGCGUUGGACUAGCCCAUUUCUAAAAAUCUUUACUAGCGUUGGACUAGCAAGUAAGCAGAGGGAGAAGCCACAACUAGCGUUGGACUAGUGUGGUGACGUCAUGCAUUAACAAUUCAUAGUAAAACAAAUAAAGCAUAAAUUAAAACAAAUAAACACAUAAGAGCACGUAGCACAUAACACGUAAACAUAAUAUCUAGAUGCCAAAAUCCUAAGAAAAGCGGAUAAAACACAUAACACAUAAGCCACAUAAACACGCAACCUAUCUAUUACAUCAGGGAGCGCCUAACUACAAUCUAAAAGGGAAAAAUAUAAUAAAACAAAUCUAAUUAUCCUAUCUAUUACAUUUUGAGGUAUUUAAAUGCCUCUCGAAUCAUUAUAAAAAUUAACUAAAACAUAUAUAAGAAAAUUUGAAUGAAUAUUUAAAUCAAAUAAAUAAAGCAUAUAAAAAUAUAUAAACUCAUAGGAACACAUAGGAGCACAUAAGAGCAUGUAAUUGACAUUGAAAUAAUAAUAGGGGUACCUCCCUUUUGAAGUGGUGACUAAAUGGAGUCAAAUUGCCCUAUUUAUACUCAAAAUGAACAAAAGAAUCAUGGCACCAAUUUAAUUGAAAAAUAAUAAUAAUAAAAAUUCAUCUUAAUAUGUCAAAUGCAUAGAAAUUUAAGAACAUCUAAAAUUUACAAUUUAAAUAUAUUCAAAAGUGACAUAAUUAGCUAUUAAAGAAAAGAAACAAUCAUAAUAAAGAGAGACAAAACUCACCAGGGACUGAAUUGCAGAAAUCGAAAAACUUUUGGAGACAAAAAUUAUAUUUUUCCAAAGUUCAGAGGUCAAAAUUAAUUGAAAGAUAAAGUUCAAGGACCAAAGUGCAAUUAAUUUAAGGACCUAGGUGAAAGGAAUUUAAAAUGUUCUGGGCCACAAUAAAACUACUCCAAAGAUCAGGAGAAAAAGUGCAAAUUUCGGCUUCUGAUUUGGGCAAGAAAAAGGUCAUCGGGCCAUCAUUUUAUUUCUUUGGGCCAAACACUAUCUAAGCCCAGCUGAAAGUCCAAGAGAAACGAGCAGGUCAGCCCAUCUUUUUAUCACUCAAUCCCAAUCAAAAAAAUACAUGAGCUCCUACCUCUUAGCCCAACCGAAUUAAAGAAAAAACCCAUCAAAAAAAUAAACCUCAACCCAAUUCCUUUUUCUUUCUUUUCUUUCUCUUCUUCUUCUUUCUACUUCUGCCCAUCCGUCUCUGCCGAGGAGCUGAAGCUCCCUUCUGGCUGGCGGCUAUGGCGAUUGCCGGCGGUGCCACCGUCGGACAGCUAGUCGCCAGCGAUCUCUCCGGUUGCCAAAAUUUCUCAAAAUACUCUCCCUCACUCGAUUUUUCGCGUAGAUUCCGUUUCCGGGCUUAAUUUUAAUAAAAAUUGACCCUAAAGUGGCCAAAAUGCCAAAAUAUAGUCCAAUUUUUUUUUUAAACACUCAAAUCUUCACCCAAAAAUCAUAAAAUUUAUGCCAAAACACUCCUUAUAAUCUCCACAUUUACAAAAUCUUAGCUAACAAGAAAACAACAACAAAAGACUACAUUAAAGCAAAACAAUCCCUAAAAUUCAUUUUUUUCAUUUUGGCAUUUUUUCAAACAAUUAACAUGCAUUCACAAGAAACAUUUCCUUUUCCUAAAUCUGGUUUAUGACCUUCCCAAAAUUUCACCGAUACAAUAACAACAAAACCAGCAAAAUAAAACAACACACAAGCAAUCACACAUACAUUUAAUCUAGUUAAAUAAAAAAAGAAAAGCUGGAAAAAAAGGACAAGAAAUACCUCAAUGAAGACCUUGGUCCCUUGGCCAAAGUUUUUGAUGAGAUUGCCAAGCUCCAAUAGCCCAACCAGUCGCUGCCUCCCUUUUGUUGUCUGCAAGGGUGUUGUGGAAAUAUUGGGAGAGAGGAGGUCCGAGAGAUGUAUUGAGAGGGGAAAAAAAUUGGAGUCUUGGUUUUGUUGAGAGCAAAAGAAAAGGCCGAGAGAGUGUCCCCCUUUUUUUUUUCUUCCUCCUAUCCGUUUUGAGUCAGCCGAGAGAGGGAGGGAAAAAUUUUCUUUUGUGGCUUCUCCGUUGAGUCCAGGAAAGGAGCCCAGUGAAGAGUCCGGGAGAUUGAGUGUUAGGUUGGUAAAAAAUCAUGAUUUUACCAAAUGACAAGAAAGAUGAAGAAAAUUGAGUGUAGGAAUGGGUUAAGUGUAUUUGGUGGAAAAAAAUGAUUAGGAUGAUUUGAUUUCUUGAUUUUCUCUUUUUUUUGUUUUUUUUAAACAAACUUGCAAAAAUAAGAAAAAUGCACAUUAAAAUGUAAGAAAAUAAAUAAAUUACUAAAUAGAAAAAAUUCAAGAAAACAUUAAAAUUUUGACAAAAAUUUGGUGUCUACAGGAGGUUUAUGAAAUUAUCCCGUUACUAUUUGAGUAGGUUUCUCCUGGUCUAAUGACCACCCAACAUGAGGAUAAUCCUAACCCUAAUGACAGACUCAAGAAGAUUAUCAUGAGAGACAAUUGCAGUCAACCAACCAUCAAAAAGAUGCUAGAAUUGUAGGCCUUAACCGGGGUCAUAAAGAUGGAGGUGAUGAAGUGUCAAGAGAAUUGUUCACGAUCGCAAUGUUAGUGUGAAGACUCACAAAAUUUAUCUAUUUUAAACUCCUAAUUCUAGUUCAUUUAAUUAUUUAUUUGGCCAAUUGCCCGAAUAUUAUUUUCUAACAUUUUUAGACCUAAUUAUAUGGAUCUAUAGUUUAUUUAUAUUUUUAAAGUGACUUGUUUAAAAUUUUAAUUUUUGAAAAUUCGUUAAGUGAAAAUAGUGAAUACGCAUUUGGAGUCAAUAAUCGAUUCGAGAAUACAAUAACCUUGGAAAAUUGGAGACUUGUACAUUAGUCUUGAAAUAGGUAUUUUUAUGUUUAAGUGCUCAAUUAUUAGUUAGUGAUACUAUCGUUAUAAGAAUUUCUUGAAAAUUCCACUUUAUCGCGCACAAAUCGGAAGUACGCGUUUUUACGCGUGCGAUUAAUUGAGGGACUUAAGACCAUUAUUUUUAAACCAUUGAGAGUGAAUAAUAAUAAUAGUAUGAAAAUAAGUGCAUAAGAGGUAUAGUGCACAAGUGAAAUAAACUGGAGAGAAAUCGAGCACGAAACCCGCGCUCGCGUGUGCGGGGAGAGGGUUGACUUUUGAACGAAUCGUAGCCACACAUUAAAGCUUCUUUUGGAAGCUUCAUUUCAGACCAAAACCUCUCUCUCUCUCGCUCUCUUCUGGCCGGCCACCCUCAAGAAGAAAACAACCAAGUUCUUCAACUUUUCCUUCAUCAAAUCUUUACCAUUUCAUCUGAAAUUUCACCUAUACUUAGCUAACCACUUGGAACCACCUCAACCUAGGAAGAGAGCUUGCUUUCCACGGUUUUGUUGAGUUUCAAGAGGCCGAAAAUAUCUGCUUUGUUCAUCAAGAGAGGUAAACCACGAUCAACUACAAGAAUCUUAGUUUAUGAAGACUAUCUUGCACUUAUAAGCUUAUAUAAUCAUGUGAGUAGUUUUAUUUAUGUUGGAAAGUUGGUGUGUGGGCUCUAUGAACUCCCACUAUGGCUUGAUGGACUGAUUUGUUGUGUUUUGAUGUUAUUAAUGUAGGAUUAGUGUUUAAUCUAGUGGAAAUAGGUUGUAUUGUUGAAGGAAAACUCAAAGGAAGUGAUGAGAGAAAUUUUUCAUUUCUGCCCCUGUACAUGCCAUGGCCCUUAGAGCACUUUUUUGUAGUUCUAUUGACUUUUUUAUGAUGUAUACAUGUUGUGUGGGUUGUGUAGAAAGUUUCAUCAAAAUAUUUCGGGAUUUGGAUGGGUAGAUGUUGAGUUUUCGAAAGUCUAGUAAAACUGGAAUUUUCCCCGAAACUGCUCCGGCAGUGGUUUUCAAAUGGCUAUAACUUUUUACUCCGAUGUCGAAAUUGAGUGAAGUUUGUGACACUAGAAACUAGACAUUCUCAACUUUCCAACGGUAUAAAAUGCAUAUUCUGAUUCCACCUGAGUACUCCAUACCAAUCAUUUGAACAUGACUGUCCUGUUUCGCGUCUACAUUGGGAGCUCUGUUUUGAGCAGCGAAUUGAUGCUCAAAUAUGAGUUAGCUGUGGACAGAUUUUGAAAAUGAUUUAUUCUAAGAAAUUGUAACUUUAUGAAUUUAGUUUUCAAUUCCACUAAUCACCCUCGAUUCCAAAUUGAAUUGAGUGAGUUGUGGCCGAAAUCCGAAACUGACUCAAUGAUUUGAAACCCUCUUUUGGCUAGUAAAUGUCUAAAUUUUGAUUGGGACUUGUUGUUUCGAAAUUCUUGGUGUUAAUCACCUACCAAAUGCAUCUUGGGUGUUUCUUAGACAUUACCUACACAAAGGGACCGUGUUUGAGACAUUUUUGUUGGCCAAAUAUUUUGAAAACAGAAAACUCAUGUACAAGGCAUAUUUGCCUUGGAAAUUUGGAAACUUUGGUGUUCUAGUUAACCAACUUUCCGUAUGUAUUUUUCCAUGAAAAUUGAUAGAGAAAUAGCUCUCAUAUGGUAGUAUAAUACCGCCAAAUUUGGUGCCAUUCCAAGUUCAUUUUGAUGCUCAAACAAAAUCCCAAAGUUUGUAAAUUGAACCUGGAAAUUUGCCUAACCGUCUCAAUUUUUUAGCAACUUUGAGCCACUAUAUCUUGGUGUUCAAAACUCCAAUAUUUGUUCCACUUAUUUUGUUUUAAACUUUGAUUACAACUCUAAUUGGGUUUCAAAUCUGAGAGGCUAGUUCAAAUUCUGUGAAUUUUGCCGAAUUUUCAAAAUUGGCGAAAAAUCAACCUCAAAAUUGUCCCGCAAGCCUAAAACAGUAACUUUGAACCAGUUUUUGAAUGCCUUCCGUUGGGAAUCAUGGAAAAGUAUACUCUAAGAACUUUUAGUACUUUGGAAGAAGUUUCCAACGGUACCAAGUUUUCUAAUUUUGGACUUAUAAAGAGUGAGAUAAAAUUUUUUCAAAGAUCUCGUAUCAAAGUUAAAAUUUUCGAAACUUUAGGAAAUGGAAUUUUUCGAAUUCUCCUUUUCCCCUCGAUAUCACUUGAACGUUCACACUUGAUUUCAAAGAUGAAAACUCGAUUUCUCUUGUGCUUUAAAAACCUAACUUUUGAGCCUUGAUUCGCGAGUAAUUUAGGCUCACUUUCGUAAAAUUGUUUUAGAUUGUACAAGUGUACAAUCAUUCGUGAUAAUUAGGGUUUAUACAUGAUAGUUCACUACUAAUUACUUAGAUUCGCACGAGAACCUUCAAGAGGAUCUCACGGUGAACGCCUGAAUUUCAAGUGACAUUUCUUCCUUGUUUACUUGGUGAGUGUCAAGUGUAUGUAAAUCUGAUAUGUGCUUAAUUAUUAUUAGUGAUUGGAGAUUUUGAGAAUGCUGAGUCGAGUGUGUACUUUACCGCACUCGGUCUCAUUUAAAUGAAUCAUGAAUGACUUGAUUGAAAUAAAAUGAAUGAAUCAUGAAUGAUUUGAUUGAAUUGAAAUGACUGAAUCAUGAAUGACUUGAUUGAAAUGAAAUGAAUGAUUGAAUGAAAUAAUAAAUUAUACUAUGCUGCAUAAGUCGAUUAGAGCGAUGUUUCAUCGAUCACUGAACGAUUUUAAAUACCACACCGAUUCGGGUGGGAGGUACCUCUCGAGUAGUCUCAGUACCCUAAACCUCUGAACAAUAGUAAGUACCACACCGAUUCAGGUAGGAGGUACCUCUCGAGUCGUCUCAGAACCAUAAAGUAUUCUAAGUCGAUUGGAGCAGAGUCUCAUCGACCUCUAAACGAUAGUAAGUACCACACCGAUUCGGGUGGGAGGUACCUCUUGAGUCAUCUAUAGUUGUCAUUCAUCCAAUGUUGACAGUGUAUACACUGUCAGUGUAGAAAAAAUUAAUUCUUUUUUAUUUCUUUUCGAUUGAAUAUAAGCGUAGCAAAGGAAUAGUGGGAGUGUGGAAUAAAAAGGAGUAGUUUGUUGGGUUGAAAAUCGCGGUUAACAACGAAGUCGUUCCAAUUUGGAUGAAAAGUCCUUUGAACCAUGCCAAUGCCAUGGCUUUUAUAUCCAGUGUUGGUGUUUUGCUCUCAUGCAGCCUGGGAUCUGCAAAUUGUGGAAGGCCCUGUAGAUGAAUAUACAUAUUGUCCUAAUCAAUUUGUUAACAAAUCAAGGCGUGUAUUAAAUUUAUAAAAGAAAGUAUUUAUCAAUAUGUAUUUGUAUUGAGAAGGGAAACUAAUGGGGGAUAAAAGAAAAACAAGAAUUAGAUACUAUUAAAACAAAAAAAUCAACAAAGGAAAUCAAUAAUUUUGGAAAAUCGAGCAAUUAAAAUGGAUCAAGAGCGAACUUUACUAAUUUCCAGGUGUAGCUACGAACUAUUCCCUAACCCCUAACUCCUCAACCCAUUUGUCCUUUCCCUGAAACUUUGACCAACAAUGACUGAAAUCACAUUUAAGUCAAUUGUACAUUGGCUAUGGAGAGUUAAUCAAUACCUUAGGCCCAUCUAAUCCAAUCAGUAGGAAACAUAACCAUAAUUGGCAUAUAACUAUGAAUCUCAAUUUUUAAAAUUUACAACUUUUAUAAAACAAAAUCAAGAAAAGGAGCAUGUUCAAAAGAAAAAACAAUCCAUAAAAACAUUUGAUAUUAAUAGAAGUAAAAUGUAAAGAAAACAUUAAUUGCACAAAAUUUCAAAACUAUUCCAGAUAUUAGCAUAGGAUAUUCAUUAAUCCAAGUAACACACUUGAACAGUGGCCCCGUUUGGCAAAUGACUUUUUUGAGUGUUUGUCUAAAACUUUACCUUAGAAGUUGUAGAAAAAAUUUUUAAAAUGAGAAACUUUUUUUCGUUUCUUUCUUUUUCUCUUUCUCUUUUUUUUUCUUUUUCUUUCUUUCUUUCUUUUUUCUUUUCUUUCCUCUCUUCUUGUCCUCCCCUCCCCCUCCCAAUCCGCCUCUCCCUCUCCCUCCCCUGCCACUCACCCUCCCUGUUGGAAGCAGCAACAGCACCAGUAGAAACCAAAAAAAAAAUUUUUUUUUUGCCUUUUCCUCUCUCCCCUUCUUCUCCCUUUCCCCCUCCCCCACCACUCUCCCUCCCCGUCAGAAGCAGCAAUAGAAACAAAAAACAAAAUUUUUUGCCUUUUCCUCUCUCCCCCCUCUCCUUCCCUUUCCCCUUCCUCGCCCCUACUACCGGAUCUGGUUGUGUGACCAGAUAGUACCGCUAGAAGGGUGGGGGAGGGUGGCUGGGGAGGAAGAGGGGGAGAGAGGAGGGAGGGAAGGAGGAGAGGAAGAAGGAGAAGAAAAAUGAAAAAAAAAAAGAGGUUGCUGGCACCGGAACCGGUCUUGGCUGGCGCAAGAGGUGGUGGUGGGUUGGGUGGAAGAAGAAAUGAGGAAGGGAAAUUAUUUUGAUUGUUUUGGGUAUUUUAAAGUGUGCAGUUUAAAAAUUUUGAGAAAUUUUUUGAAAUUACUAUAGCUAAAGUUAUUAAAAAACUGGUAGGCGACAAACUUAGCCAAAAACUCCUUUGCAAAAUAGGCCCAAUAUUUAAGAAAACACAAAAGCCGUGUCACUUCUUGCACAUUUGGUUCAACCAAGAUAAUUUCAAGAAACACAUAAAGGUAAUAACUUCACCUAAUUAAUGUAAAUGCAUCGCAAUUGAAUGUAAUCAAAUACUAUCCAAAUCAUCAAAACAACAUAACAGAAACAUCAAAACCUAAACAAAGAAAUCACGAUAUAGUUGAUCCAAUAUUACAAUAACAUCCAAGACAAAAAGAUUUUCUAUGAUAAUAUUUAUAGAGAAACAAUGCCUAUUCAGCAAUACCACCAAAAAACAAAAAGGCUAAAACAACUUUUGUUAAAUAUGAUAGAAAACAAUCAAAGAGAAUCUUUUGAAACUAAAAAAAAAGACCAUUACCAAAAACUGAGGAAAGAUCAAACAUAUCCACUAAAUCCAUUGCAUAGCAUUUUAGACAAAAAGAAGCACACAACUAAAGUAGAUCUCACAAAAAAACAUAAAGAACAAUCAUUUGCAUCUUUAACAAAACUUACACCUUUAUAUUAUUGCAAUCUAAAGACCCACAACCCAGACAAGAAUCUAAUACCAACUCUAAUUCAGAAUCUUAAUCUUUCACGACAUUUAAAUAUGGAUUACUAUGUAGAACAAAGUUAAAGAGGAGAAAUAUUAAGUGCAACUUCACCUUCAAGCUCUUGAUGCUGAGGUACUAAAGUUUGAUUCUCCAACAAUCUCUUGUUCUACCUAGGCAGGUAAUUCUUGCGUUUUAUUAUGUAAGUGGCCAUUGCUUUGCCAGAUGGAGAUUAGGGUUCGCCAACUCGGCUGAGUCUGUUACGACUCGGCCGAGUCAUAACCGGAACGGCACCUGCCGUUCCGAUACUGAUACCCGAAAUGUCGAUUACACCAUAUCCGAUUUGAAUCGCUCCGAAUCAGCCGAUAUCCUCAGAAUUAGCACUGUGUAGCAAGAUAACAGCCAAAUUCUCAGAUUCGACUCAAAUAUGUACCAGUAAACAAGUUUAAACAGCAAUUGGGAAGCCAACACCAAACAAAAAAAGAACCAACACCGAAAGGACACAAAAGGCAUCGCACCAUAGCUAGCUACGGCUGUUGCAGAGCAUUUUACAAAACCAAACAAAACUACAAUUACCAAAGGUGGUCCACACGGUUGUUGCAGUCUUUUCCCAUGCUUUAUUGUUUUAUUUUUCAGCCACAAAGACAAGCUUUAGGGAAAAGUGGGGAUAAAGAGAACCAUACCAGCAAUUCCUCCGUAAUCUAUCACUAGUUUUUGGGCUUCCCUCCAGAAUAAAGGUGACGGCCGGCUGGAGAAACAAGCCGAUUGGUUCUUCAAUUUCUUCAUCGUUCGGCUGUAGCUCAGAUCUGUUGACAGCCGGCUCACAUCUGUUGAUGCCCGGCUGCGGCUCACAUCUGUUGACGGCUCAUAUCUAUUGACGGCCAGCUCAAAUUUCCAUUGGAGAACAAAAUAUUGUUCAAUGAGCCAACUCUUCAAUUAUAGAAAGGGAAAGCAAAAGAAAAAGUAAAGGUGAUGGCCGGCUCUUCAAUUUCCACAUUAUCUGGCCGUGAAGGAGGUGAAAAAGUGAGAAACGGAAAUUGGGAAAAAAAAUGAAGGGAAGAGACAGAGGAAGAUAUGGCUAAAAUUGAAGGGAAAACUCCAAUGAGCUGCGGUUGCACUAAACAGAAGAUGGGCUUUUGUACUGAAGCCAGCCAUAGGGAAAAAAUUAAAGGAAAAAUUAGAAGCACGUAAAGUCUAGCUUUGGCCCAAGUAAUUAAGAGAUUAGGCUCCUAAUCUUAAACCCAAGCAUCAAUCAAAAGGUCCGCAUCUUCUUUCAAAAUAACUUAUCAAUUUUAAUUUUUUUAAUUUAGCAAUCAGAUAUGAUAUUUAGGUAUUUGUAAAUUUAAGUAAUGCAUUUUGACAUUUUUUUACAUAUUAUUAAGUAUAUGAUUAAUUUGUAUUAGUAGUCUCUUAUCUAAAUUUUAGUUAGAAAAUAUGUAGUGAUUAUUUGGAUACAUUUUAAUGAUCAUAAAUGUAAUUUAUUUAUUUUCAUGUAUCUCAAUUAUGUUGGUUAAAAUGAUUUUAAGUAAAUUAAUUAGAAAAAGUAAUAAAAAAAAAGAGUUUGUUGCAGUUAGUUAAACAAAAAAUUGAAUUGGGCAAAUUGUCAAAGUAUAAAUUACCUGGCAUAAUUAAACUUGAUUAGAAAAAAUUUAAUAUAUUUAGAUAAUAAAAAAUUUUAUUAUUAUCGAAAUAAUACAAAUUACCUUGCAUAAUUAAACUUGAUUAGGAAAAAUUUAAUAUAUUUAGAUAAUAAAAAAAUAAUUUUAUUAUUAUCUAAAUAAUGCAUAUUACCUUGCAUAAUUAAACUUGAUUAGAAAAAAUUUAAUAUAUUUAGAUAAGAAAAAAUUUAUUAUUAUCUAAAUAAUGCAUAUUGAUUUGCAUAAUUAAACUUGAUUAGAAAAAAUUUAAUAUACUUAGAUAAUUUUCAAAUAAUUUUAUUAUUAUCUAAAUAAUGCAUCAUACCAUGCAUAAUUAAACUUAACUAGAAAAAAUUUAAUAUAUUUAGAUAAUAUAAAAUAAUUUUAUUAUUAUCUAAAAAUGCAUAUUACCUUGCAUAAUUAAACUUGAUUAGAAAAAAUUUAAUAUAUUUAGAUAAUAAAAAAUAAUUUUAUUAUUAUCUAAAUAAUGCAUAUUGAUAUGUUUAACAUCACAUCUACAAUUAUUUAAUUAAUGUAGGGACAGUAUAAAGUGGCUCCAAAUCAAGACAUUGGUUGGGAUUAUGCUACUCUAGUUGGUAAUGACAGAAAGGUUGCAAAGUGUAAUUAUUGUGGUAAAAUUGUACACGGAGGAAUUACAAGAAUGAAACAACAUAUUGGACAUGUAGCAGGACAAGUAGAGGCAUGUCCGGCAGCUCCAAGAGAUGUAAGAGAGCUUUUAAAGAAACACUAUGCAAGAGCUGCAACACAAAAGAAAAAAGAAUCAUUGCUUUCGUCCAUCAAUCUACUAAAUGAAAAUAAGGAUGAUGAAGAUGAUAAUAUUUUCGAGCUUAAUGAAGAAGAAAUGGAAGUUUUGGAAAGAAAUCAAUAUAAGCGAACUAUGGAAGAAAGUAGAUACAUGAGAUUUAUGGAAGAGCAACGUAGGCAUUCUAUAUCUGGAGGUCAGCCAACUAUGGAUUUUACAUCUGGUAUGUAUGUAGAAAUAUCUAAGAAUUAAUAUAACAUUUUUAGAUUACAAGACUUAUUUAAUAAAAAAAUUAUAAUCUUUUAUGUGCUAUAUUGCAAGGAGUACCAGUUCAAGUAUACCGAAUAUAUUGUCCUCUAGAAAUAAAAAAGCUUUGUCUUAGAGUUUUAAACUCAAGGAAGGAGUUUUGGGGCCAAAAGGAGUUGAUUCAUGCAUGUUUCCCUCCAAAAAUAAGUCAAUAAAAAGUUUGUUUUCCAAAGAAAAUACCAAAAAAGUUGGUAAGGCAAUUGCAAAAUUUUUUCAUUUUAAUGUCAUACCAUUUCAUGCGGCUGAUAGUGGUCCUUAUUAUCAAUCGAUGAUUGACACAAUUGCUAGUGCUAGAACGGGAAUUAAAGGGCCAACAGGUAAACAAAUUGGAGGUGAAUAUUUGAAUGAGGAGAUGACAGAUGUUGACCAAUACAUUAGUUCCAUUAAACAUAAAUCGAAAACAUAUGGGUGCACAAUCAUGUGUGAUGGCUGGAGUACUCGGACAAGCAUCCAAUCAUUAAUUUCAUGGUGUAGUGUGAUAAAGACAUGAUAUACCACAGCUCUAUUGAUUGUACAAACAAGGUAAAGACUACAAACUUUGUCUUAUCCUUAGUGGAUAAAGUUGUGGAUUCCAUUGGAGAACAAAAUAUUGUACAAAUUGUCACUGAUAGCAAAUCUAGCAUGAAGGCAACCGGAGAGCAACUGAUGAAGAAAAGGAAGCAUUUGUUUUGGUCACCAUGUGCUGCACAUUGCAUUGAUUUGAUGCUAGAAAACAUUGGUCAAAUGAAGUCAAUAAAGGAUGCUAUCAAACAAGGUAAGAGAAUUACCAGUUUUAUAUAUAAUAGUGACAAAGUGGUCAACCUAAUGAAGACAUAUACAAAUCAUAGAGAGUUAUUGCGACCCGGCAUAACAAGAUUUGUUACCGAGUUCAUUGUAAUGGAAAGUCUUCUUCAUCAUUCUAUCGAAUUGAAACGAAUGUGUAUCUCAAAUGAGUGGCAGGAGUAUAAUAGCAGUUCUAAAAGAAGGGAAGAAGCUGCUGAAGUGUCUGACUUGAUUUUGUCAGAAAAAUUUUGGAAAAAGGUACGGCAGGUAUGUGCAAUCAUGGAGCCGCUAGUAAAAGUUUUAAAAGUGAUUGAUCAGAAUAAAAAACCCACACUACCUAUUAUAUAUGAGGCAAUUGAUAGGGCUAAAAUGGUAAUCCAAAAGUGUAGUGAAAGACUAUGAAAAGUAUUGGGAUAUCAUUGAUGACAGAUGGUAUAGGCAAUUAUAUCGAAACUUGCAUGCAGCAUGUAAUAAGCAUUUGACAGUUAUAAAUAAAUAUUUCUUUUAAACAAAUUAUUUUGUGUUAAAAAUUUACUCACUUGAUUUUUUUUAUGCCAUUGGCCCAGACUAUUUCUUAAAUCUCGUUUUUCAAUAUUCCGGCACUUGUGAAUUUAACACGUCUGAAGUUAGAAGGGGAUUGAAAGAAGUAAUCAAAAGGCUUGAACCAAAUUUAGAAGUACAAGCAAAAGCAAUGAACGAGGUACAAAAAAUAACUAUUGUUUAUUAACUUGCAUUACUGUAUAAAUUUAAGAAAAUUAUUAAUAUUCUAACUCUGUAAUAUUCUUAGAUAAACACAUUCAUGAACAAAAUUGGAGAGUUUGGAAGUGCACUUGCAAUUAAGGCAGUAGCUGCAUCUUUACUAUGUUCAUAACUACGAUUUUGUUCUUUAAAUUAUAUUAUGCAUUAGUAUGUUAUUUUAAUGAUACUUAUUAUAUAUGCAUAACUAAAAUUGUAUUUUUUUUGUACGCUAUAUGUUUUUAAUAGCUGAAUGGUGGAAUAUGUAUGGUGAAGAAGCUCCUAAUUUAAGAAAUAUUGCAAUUAAAGUUCUAAAUCAAACUUGUACAUCAUCUGGCUGUGAAAGAAAUUGGAGUACAUGGUCUUUGAUACAUACAAAACUUCGAAAUCGAUUGGCAAUUGAAAAGUUGCACAAGUUGGUAUUCGUGCAUUACAACAUGCGGCUUAGAGUGAAGAAUUUGAUGUACAAAAAUGACACUGAUGAUUUUUAUGAUCCAAUUGAUUUAAAUCACAUUUUUGAUGAAAAUAAUAUAUUAGAUGAGUGGGUUCGAGAAAAUGAGCCGUCAUUAAUUCAUGAAAAUGAUUUGAGUUGGUUGGAUAAGGCUAUCAGUGAAAGUGAAGGGAGAGAACAAAGUCAUGACAAUAAUCAUGAUAAUGAUAUGCCUUUAUCCCAAUUCAUAACUGGUAUGAAAAAGAAACAUAAGGAGCGAGCAUCUACGAGCAAAAGCAAGGGUACUGGGAAGAAAAAAGUUAUAUCAAAAUCCAUUUCAUCUUCCUCUACCAAAAGUUCUAGUAGUGAAAAAGAUGACAGUAGUAAUGAUGAUGAUGAUGGAGGGGCAAACAUGAGACAUUCUCAACUAAAAAAUGUUUAUGGUUGUGGUAGUGGUGGUAACUAUCAUGAUAGCCAAUAUACUGGUGGCAUGUCAUAGGGUCAAGGAGAUGAUAACUAUUAUGCUACUCAAGACACUGAUCAUGGAUAUUGUCCUGGUAUAGAAGCACAACGGCAACAUUUGAGCAAAAUAACUGAAUUUUCAAGUGAAGGUGACUCUUCUUACAACUCAAAUUCUAGGAGAUAUUCUGAAUUUCAUGAGCACAUGCAAGAUUUGAAUAUAGGUCAUUCAUAUGGAGUCUAUGAUUCUGGUAAAAGUUUGGGUACUAUGUGGUCAGGACAUGAAUUUGAGCGAUCACUUGCAGGCUCUACUUCUUAUUGCUCUGAAUACGGAUCAUAUGGUGGACCUAACCAUCUUCAGAGGUCCACUAGUAUUUCUACUGGAUCAUAUGGUGGACCUAGCCAUCUUCAAAGGUCCACUAGUGUUUCUACUAGUGGAUAUUAUAAUCGGCCAACUGGAAUACAUUAUGAUGAAUUUGCAUUUGAUUCACGUAGUAUUGGUUAUUAUGGACACAAUUAUGGUUCAUCUAGUAGCACCAAUGAUAGUUUACACUAUCGAGAGUUCAGUUACUACCAUAGAGGUGAUGAAUUUGGAUCAAAUCCACCACCAUUGCCACAUUUUAAUCAUGGUUCAUCUAGUGCGUCAUCAAACUUAAGAGAUGAACAAUAUGGUUCAUAUAUUUCUUUCCAUUCACAUGAAGAAAAUUAAAUGCAAAUGCCAUAUUCUUACUCUAAUUGGUCGGAAGAUGAGCAUGAUUUUGAACCUCCUCGUCAUUCUAUAUGGUGCUAAUAGGUAUGUAAACAAAGUAAAAAUGUAUUUUUAUUAUGUUUGAUAGAAUUUAAGAGUUGUACAUAAUUCAUUAAUUUUAAUAUUUCAGUGAUAUUUAUUAUUUUAUACUUUAGGAAAUUGAGAUCAAUCAUCUGGGUACUGCAGUGGAUCAAUAUAGGGUGAAAAUGUUUAUUGAAAAUAUGGUGAAAAUGUUUGCUUCUUUAUAUUUUUGCAUUUCAUAAUAUUAUUUGAUAGGUAUUUGUUUUUUUAUUGUAUUAAACUAAACACCGCUGCUUCCUCUGUGUACCGAGAUUUGUAUUGUAUUAUGUGACAUAUGAUAAUUUUAUUCUUAUAUAUACUUUUUAUCUCAUAUGAAAUAGAAUCAGAACGUACACUUUAUUCUAAAAUCAUUUAUUGCUAAUGCUAUAGGCCUUAUGAUAAUGACAGCAUUAUUUUAUUUAAUAAUUAGUAAGUAUAUAUGAUAAUGUAGGUAUUUAGUAAAUUUAAGUUUAUAAUUGUGCUUUUUAUGGUAUUUUUUAUUUUUAGUAAUUUUUUCAUAUUUUUUGAAAAUUUUUAUAUACUAUAAUGUAUGUAUCACCCGAUAUUCAUCGGAUAUGUCGCGACAGAUGCGGAACAAUCGAGACCGUGACGCGACCGAGAUCCGCGACGGCAAACCAUGAUGGAGAAUGGUAAUUUGUAAAACCUUUCUUUUGCUGAAUUUUUUUGCUAGCUUAGGCCUUUUUGUACUUCUUUAAAAGUUUUCCUUUAUGGUUUGUGGCAUGCCUGUAUAUUUCUUAUGCUGCUCCUCAUUCUUAACUAUUGUUAUUGAAGAUUCUGACUGAGCAUCUAAAUUUUCAGUUUCUAUAGUCAUCAUACUUUCAUUGAGGAUGUCACCAAGUUUAGUUUGAUGGUGAAGAAACAAAAUCACCCAAAGAAUUGAAAUUGAGGUCGGAUUUUGCUCACGAAGGAGACAGGAUACUCAAUCCUGGCUCAAGAUUUUUCACAAAAUUUUUUUGCUCUUUUUUCUUCUUCUUUUUCCCUCUGUUUUCCCUCUUUUUCCUCCACCUCCCCUCCUUUUUCUUACCCUAAUGUUGCAUUUUGAUGGAAUUUUACAAGAAACCAAGGCUCCUAAACCCUCACCUCAAAGGUGAGGAUGAAACCCAGGUUAGCUGGGCAAUUUAGAGCCAUUAGAUGGCUUGUUUUUCUAUAUCUUUUCUUGGUGAUUCGGAUCAAUGCGAGGUGCCCUUGUACUGGGGGCUUUGAGGGAAAGAAAAUGGAGCAGAAAUUGCACGAAAAAUGCCUUGACAUGCCAGCUGCAAUUCUGGUUUCCUGCAUCUGGUUUGUACGAUGAUGAAAAAGAAUAGCGCACGUGCGUGAAGGGAUUUUUUUUUUUUUACAAAAUCUAAUUUUAAUUUUUUUCUUUUAUUUUCUUUCUAAGUUUCUAAAAAAUAAAUUUGAGAUGAUUUUCUAUAGAAAAAGUAAUGUUGGCCUUGGUCCCUAACUUUUGAUGUUUACAAAACAAUGGAUAAUUCUAAUAUCUCUUCAAGAAAUAUUUUCAGCUGUGAAGCAAAUCAGAUUAAAAAAUCAAAUGCUAUUGAAAGGGACAAAAACUGUUGAAAGCUGUCGGACGCUUGGAUCGGACGUCCGAUAAUCAUUGCGCAACUUCAGACGCAUGAAAAACUCGACCACUGGACGUCCGAAGGAAAUAAGAUAUUCCCCCUGACUCACUGAUCUUGAUCGGACGCAAGCAUCAGACGUCCGAUAGGAUCAUUCAAAGUCGACGAAGCCAUCGGACGUUGAAUAUGUCUCCACCGGACGUCUGAUAGAAACAAGAUGAUUUCUCAAAUCUCUUUGUUUGCUGUCGGACGUUCGUCGGACGCACAAAGAGCUUGCACCGGACGUCCAAUAAAAUUGAAGAAAAUUUCUCAAACUCACUGCCUACUGUCGGACGCAAAAAAUAGGAGUACCGGACGUCCGAUACUCCAACGGCUAGUUGACUCUUCAACUAUUUUCUAUCCGUUGGAAGCAUUAGUGUGGCACUUUCUUGGUCCUAUAUAAAUAGUGGUUGGUCAGAUAUUUCAAACAAUUUUGACACAUUGAAGAUACAAAAGAUCUAGAGUGAUUUUAGUGAGAAAAUACUCUUCAAAGAAGAUUUGUAGUGUUAGUGGUGUGAGGUUCAUUGUAAGCUUUUCAUUUGUGAGUGAAUACUUCAUGAGUGUAGUUCUAUGAGGGUUGUCCUGAGGGAUAGUAAAACGUCCUAACUUGACCGAGUGGAAUUCGGGGCAAGGAGGAGGUGAACAUUCCUUUGUACACAAGAGUGAUUGUAAUUCAUCAAAUUGAAGUAGUUUGAUUGAAUUAAUCUACAAGCUCAAGAAGAGCUGUGUAGUUAAUUGGUUUGCAAUUCUUUCCUUUUUAUUUACUUUUUGUUACGUUUGUGAUGUUUACAUUGUUUAUCUCUUCCACUUGGUUGUCUGCGAUCCUUACAAUUGGUAUCAGAGAUUGGUCUUCUUGAGAUUAACUCAAUCGACUUAGGAGUAAUUAUGACAACCAAUAAUGUUAUGUUUUUGAAGGACAUUCUGUCAUUAGACCACCUAUGUUUAAUGGGUCAAAUUAUGUGAGUUGAAAAGAAAGAAUGAUUAUGUUUUUGCAAUCUAUUGAUAUUGAAUUGUGAUUUAUUAUUAGUGAAGGUCCAUAUGAUGCCUCUCUUUUAGAUGAAAAUACUCACAUAUCUAGACCAAAAAUAAGAAGUGAACUGACUGCUGUAGAUAGAGCUCAUCUCACCUUAAAUGCAAAAGCCAUGAAUGAGUUGUAUUGUACUUUAGACUGAAAUGAAUCUAUUAGAGUCAAAGGCUGCAAGUCAACCAAGGAAAUUUGGGAUAAACUGAGAAAAAUUCAUGAAGAUAGUGAGAAUGUUAGAGAACAAAAAAAAUUUAUUUUGAUUACCAAGUAUGAAUCGUUCAAGAUGGAAUCUCAUGAAAACAUUGAUAAGAUGUAUUGUAGAUUCAAUGACCUCAUUAAAGAUUUGGAGGUGCUGGAAAAGAAAUAUCCUCUAGGUGAGAAAAAUAGAAAAAUUCUGAAUGCCUUAUCCAAUGAUUGGGAGAGUAAAGUGACUGCCAUUGAAGAAGCUAGAGGUCUAAAUUUCUUACCUAUUGAAUCUCUUAUUAAUUUUCUAACCUCUUAUGAACUGAAACUUAAGUCCAAAAUGCAAGAGGAAGAGGAUGCGAAAGUAAGAAGGAGUAUUGCUCUAAAGACAUCUCAAGAUGUAGAUGAUUCUGCCUCCCUAGAUGAAGAAGAUGCGGAAACUGAUGAUAGUGAUCUAUCUCUCAUCGCAAAAAGUUUCAAGAGAAUUCUCACAAACGAAGGUUCAGAAAAGGAGGAAAUAGCAAUUCAUUCCCAAAUCAGUUCAACAACCUGAGAAACAAAGGGAAGAUAGAGUUCAACAAAAAACAAACUGAUAAGUGCUUUGAAUGCGGCCAACUUGGACACUACGCAAGUAAGUGUCCAAUGAAGAAGAGGAACUGUGAAAGAAAACCAAGAUUCAACAACUUCCAGUUCACAUGGAAUGAAUGCAACUCUGAUGGUGAAAUUGAAGAGGAAGAUGAAUCUGCUCAAUUGGCUUUCAUGGCCAUUGGAGAUGAUGAGAUAACAUUUUCUAACUCUUAAUUUAAAAGUGAUGAUGAAACUGAUGAUGAUAUUGAAUCUUUCAUUAUAAAUUUGUAUGAUAGUUUGAAAGAAUCUUAUGCUAGAAAUAAGGAAUUAGAACAUAAAAUUAGCUUUUUUCUUCAGGACAAUGCACGUUUUUUUCAAGAAAACAAAAAGUGAUUUCUUAAAGAAGAGUGAGACUGUUUUACACUUUGAGUUUGAUAGAAAAACAAGACUUUGUGAAAUGUUAAAAAAAGAACAAGGUGAUUUGAAAAGAAAAAUGGAUAAUUUAAAUGAGUUGCUCCAAUAUAAAAAACAAGACUAUUUUCAAAGUAAUAAAUCAAAACCUCAUUUUGGCACUCAUUAGAUAAGACUGAAUCAAAAUGCAAAUGAAUUUGCUAUCCAUAGGAAAAGGCAAGUCAGAUUUAUUAAACCCAUUCAUGUGAAUACUUCUUUGGUUAUGUGUAAUUUUUGUUGUCAAAAAGAUUACAUAAAAAGUGAUUGUUAUGUGAGAAAGAAUAUGAAAAGAGGCAUGAAAUAUAUGUGGAUAAUUAGACAUGAUGCUAACUCUAACAAAUAGGAAAUAUGAUAAGAUUGAUGAGAUUCUUGUUCAAUGCUUUUUUAUAAUUUUCUUUUGAUGUUUCUGAUAUUUUGAACUGAGUUUUUCCUUAAUAUUUUUGAAUAUUAUUGAAGUUUUUAUGAUGACAAAAAGGGGGAGAAAGGAAUGCUAUGUGAAAGGGGGAGUUAUUCUGAGUUUAUAAAAUUUUUUGAUGCAUUGAGUGAGGGGGAGUUUAUACUCAUAUCCAAAAUUUUUUCUUUCUUCCAUUCAUUGUUUUGUGAUCAUAAAAAAGGAGGAGAAUGUUGAUCUUGGUCCCUAGCUUUUAAUGUUUACAAAAUAAUGGAUAAUUCUAAUAUCUCUUCAAAAAAUAUUUUCAGUUGUGAAGCAAAUCAGAUUCAAAAAUCAAGUGCUAUUGAAAGGGACAAAGACUGUUGAAAGCUGUCGGACGCUUGGAUCGGACGUCCGAUAAUCAAUGCGCAAUUUCGGAAGCAUGAAGAACUCCACCACCGGACGUCCGAAGAAAAUAAGACAUUCUCUCUGACUCACUGAUCUUGAUCGGACGUAAGCAUCGGACGUUCGAUAGGAUCCUUCAAAGUCGAUAAAGCCAUCGGACGCUGAAUAUGUCUCCACCGGACGUCCGAUAGAAACAAGAUAAUUUCUCAAAUCUCUUUGUUUGCUGUCGGACGUCCGUCGGACGCACAAAGAGCUUGCACCGAACGUCCGAUAGAAUUGAAGAAAAUUUCUCAAAUUCACUGUCUGCUGUCGGACGCAAAAAAUAGGAGUAUCGGACGUCCGAUACUCCAACGGCUAGUUGACUCUUCAACUAUUUUCUAUCCGUUGGAAGCAUUAAUGUGGCACUUUCUUGGUCCUAUAUAAAUAGUGGUUGGUCAGAUAUUUCAAACAAUUUUGACACAUUGAAGAUACAAAAGAUCUAGAGUGAUUUUAGUGAGAAAAUACUCUUCAAAGAAGAUUUGUAGUGUUAGUGGUGUGAGAUUCAUUGUAAGCUUUUCAUUUGUGAGUGAAUACUUCAUGAGUGUAGUUCUAUGAGGGUUGUCCUGAGGGAUAGUAAAACGUCCUAACUUGACCGAGUGGAAUUCGGGGCAAGGAGGAGGUGAACAUUCCUUUGUACACAAGAGUGAUUGUAAUUCAUCAAAUUGAAGUAGUUUGAUUGAAUUAAUCUACAAGCUCAAGAAGAGCUGUGUAGUUAAUUGGUUUGCAAUUCUUUCCUUUUUAUUUACUUUUUGUUACGUUUGUGAUCUUUACAUUAUUUAUCUCUUCUACUUGGUUGUCUUCGAUCCUUACAAGUAAGAAAUAAAAAUAAAAUUAAAUGAAUAGAUAAAAAAUGAAAUAGGAAUAAAUGACACAAAAUUUUUGGUGUCUACAGUUUACACCAACAAUAAAAAAUCAAAUAAGGUUAAAUUUUUGUACGGUGUAAAUUUCUUGACUUGAACUAUUUAUUUUUGUUUUAUUAGAAGAAAACAAAAAUUUUCUUCUUAAAAAAUUCACACAUAUGAAAAGAUUAUUUUAAUUUUUAGUACAACUCAUACUAUAUCAUGUAUUAAAAUAUAUUUCCUAAAAAAAUUUCUUGACUUCCUUAUAACUGUCCAUGAAUUUUUUCAAAGUGUCAAUUACUUAUCAAAAUCGUUCUAAGUGGUUGAGUCUAACUAGAUUUAAUAUAUCCAUGUUCUUUGUUGUCCCAUCACAAGCUCGAUAAAGAAAAAUAUGGACCAUUAUUAGAUAUCAAUUUAUUUUUUUAAUCUAUAUAUUUUGGUUUAAAAUUUUAUUUUAUUUUUUGGUUAAAUAAUUAUUAAGAGAAAGGAUAAUGUUGUUAAUUUGUGACCUUUGAUGGAAAUAUUUAGUCUUGUUAAGCUGAUAGAAAAGGUAAGUGAGAUUUUAAAAACCUUAAAGAAGCUAAGUGAUACUAUAAGAAACUUCAGGGGAAGUUUCUAAAAUUAAACCUAUUCUAUUCUGCAGAGUGGAGUGAAAUGAAAGAAGGGGGAUCCUCAUAUGUAGAAAGGAAUCUAAUGAACUUAAAUGAAUUAAAUGAGAAGCCGUACAAUAUAUAUAAAAUGAUAUCGGAGAAGGGACAAGAGAUCGGGCGAUGAUAUCCUCCCCUUCGCCUACCCCAACGCUAAUUGGGGUCUUUGGUGUAUUUAUGCCAUAGUUAUUAAACCUGACCCGGGGAGGAAUCCGGUGAAAGAGGUGGGUCAACGGGUUACUGGUUCAACCAGUGGACGAGUGGUCUAACCGAUGGGUCACUAAAUAUAUUUAAAUAUGAUGUCGCAUAAUUUUAUGCCAUAAUAAAUAUUCAAUUAGUUUAAUUUAUUAUAGAAUCAUUGAUUCUUAUAAGAAUUAACAACCUAAAUUUAAUUAGUAAUCUACCAAAUUUCAAGUAUAAAAUUUUAUCUAAGUGUAAUUAUCUAGUUUAUUUAUGAAUUUUAAGUGCAAAAGUUUAGAUAUUUUCCUUUAAAAGGAAUUGCUUAAUAUGUUAUUUUUUAAGUCAAUUUCAUAAUUUAUAGAGUUUGGAAAAUAAUAAAAUGUUACUAUUCAAAAAGUCUAAAUAAAUUUUCUUUUGAAGAAACAAAAUAAGAAUAAAAGUAUACUAUAUGAUAUAAGAAUGACAGAAUAACAAUCAAGUUGGUGGUUGGUCCAACGGAAUUGUAUUCAAUUUGUAUGCUUGAGGUUGGGUGUUCCAAUUUCCAUCCACACAUCUUUACAAAAUUUUUCCAUGUAGGCCGGGUUCCUCGUAAGACCGGCCAGUUCAUCGGAUUGACCGGUUUAAAAGUCAACGAUUUGAAUGCAGAAACGAUCCUAUGAAGCACCCGACUCAGUUUCAUGGCCGGUUUAUCGGGUUGACUAGUUGAACUGUUGGGUCGGGUUUAAUAACUAUGAUUUAUGCCUAUUAAUUGUUAUAAAAAAAAUGCUAUAAUGAUGCUGCUUAAAAAAAUUGAUUCGAAAAAGAAAUUCAUUUCAAGGAAAAUAGAUGAAAACAAAAGGAAAAAAGAGAUGAAAAGAAAAGGCGGGAGAUGGACUAAUGCAUUGCAAUAAGGAGAAGUUCGGAUGUCUCCUUCACCUUAGUCAAUCAUUUCCUUUCAACUUGCUGACCGUCAAAUAUGACAAAAAAAUUCCAUCCAACGGCUCUUAGAUAUCCUCCUCUAUAGGACCAUUUAAACCCUUCGAUAACGGGGCCCAGAUUCUAGAUCAAUCAUCGGCUCUUUCAAAGAAGCAAAAAUACCAUCACUAGCAAAACAGAUGCGAGGCACCUUAGUAAUUCCCUUAAAUUCCCAAAAUCAGUUAUAACUGAUAAACCCUAGCCUGUUAUCAAACAAGCCAUAAGCAUAAAAGGAAAAUUUAAGACUCUGUAUUUUCAAUUUCAAAAUUUUCAGGUGAAUUUUUAGGAAGGAAAAUUUCUAGAAUUAAUGGAGAUUGGAGAAAGUAGUGAGAGCCCAGAAGGAAAAAAGAAAUCCAAAUCAAAGACUCCCAGAAAACCCAAAGAUAGCGUGCUCAAACAGAGUAAGUUCAACCAUUAUUUUGUGUGUGUGUGUGUGUGUGUGUUUUUUCGAGUUUUUCUCUCUUCUGGGUGAUGAUUUUAUUUUAUUUUGAUUUUAAUUUAAGGGAUUCUUCUCUUUUUGUUGUUUUUUUUUGGUGGGAUUUAUGCAGAGUCUCCAGCUGAGUUUUUUGCAGAUAAUAAGAAUAUUGCUGGAUUUGACAAUGUAAGUUCAUUUACUUAUAAUAGGGUAUUUCAUUUUCACACAGACACAAUCUGAGAGUGGCAGUGCAUGCCUGUGUUUGUGUAAUUGUAAUUUUGGUGAGAAGUGUGGACGGAGAUGUCAAUUUCAGAUUAGGGAGAUGCAUUCAGCUGAAAUUCGAAGGUUUGUGGUAGAAUGAAAUGAUCCGCAAUGUGUUUGAAAACCCUGCAUUUGGAGAGUUCGUGUUGAGUUUAAGCGUGCUUGUUUGGUAUUUUGCUGUAUGAUUGUUGUUUUUGUUAUGUUUGUGUGUUUCUUCGUACUUAGGCGGAGAUAGAAAAUAUUUGAUAUUGGAUGGGAAGGAAGAGCGGUGAUUGGAAUCAUUUAUUUGUGAAUUAGUAGAAACUUAGCUCCAGAAACAAAUGAAAGAAAGGGAUAAUAAUCAGUUUUGAAGUAAUUAUUGAACGGGGUAAGGUGUUCUGCAUUUUUGUUUAACGACUUGAAUGGAUUUUGAUAAUUUGUUUAUUUUAUUCAGCCGGGAAAAUGUUUAUACACAACUGUAAGAGAGCUUGUUGAAAAUGCGCUUGAUUCUGCAGAGUCAAUCUCGAAGCUUCCUAUUGUUGAAAUAACGAUGUGAGCUUACUGAACAUCUUUUUUCGGAUUUCCUUGACAAAAUUGGAAACAAAUAAUCUUAAUUAUUUUGCAAAUUGAUUUUGAUCUGAGCUUUUGACCGUUCUAGUGAAGAGAUAGUGAGAAGCAAAUUCAAUUCCAUGAUUGGGCUUGCUGAACAUGAACGUGUUGAUGAAGAGCUAUAUGAUGAUUUUGAGUCGGCCAAGGCUCGAUAGGUGUGUAUGCGAACUUAGCAUCAAUUUAAGGAGUUCUGUGUAGGAAAACUUGCACUUGGUCCAAGCAAUCAGAAUAGUUUAUAUGGUUUUUUUUUCAUAGCAUGAACGAUGAAACUUGCUUGCCACUAAAAUAUUGUCCACUGAAAUAAUGUCAUAUUGUCUUUGAUUUUUAGAAACGACUUGCCAAGGAAGCUCGCAUUCAGGAGAUCCAGGCAAAGAAUGCUAAUCUUGGAAAAAAAGUGAAAGAGCCAGUUGCUUCAAAGGCCAUGAGGGGUCGUGGUGAAACCUCAUACUAUAGGGUGACUUGUAAGGUAUGAUGCAAAAGUAUUGAGCUGCUACAGCCUUUUUCUGUUUUCAUUAUCAUGUAAAGAGCCAUAUGCAUUGAUCUAUCUUUUAUGAUGUACAUAGAACUUUGUAGAACUGAUUGUGGCAAGGCUCCACUGAAAGUUCAUUCUAUCUUAUCCAGGAUAAUGGAAAAGGGAUGCCCCAUGAUGAUAUCCCCAAUAUGUUUGGACGAGGUAUACACAUUAUGUUUUGUAUCUUAUGCAGCAAACUCUUGUGAAUCCGUUUGAGUUUCUCUCUCUCCCCUUCCCUCCCUCCUUCCCUCUUUCUGUUGUUUUACUGCUAGUUGCCUAUGCUGCUGGGUAAAAUUCCUGAUGUGAGAUCUAAUUUCCCAUAAUGCCUGCAUGAUUUUGGAUUUAAAAGAGUUAUAUAUACUUAUGCAGUUUUGUCUGGGACAAAAUAUGGCUUGAAGCAGACUCGUGGGAAAUUUGGUCUUGGUGCUAAGAUGGUAGGUUUGAAUUUUUGGCAUUGAGCCGUUUCCUUUACCAUGUUUCAUCUAAAGGUUGUAAGUUAUGCUCAAUAUGGUUAUGGCUUUGUCUGUUGCUUUUGUUUUGAAGACAAUAGUAAUUGCUAAAAAGUGGAGUUUAUGAAGUAUUUUGGACUUGCCUUUGCAUGUCUGUUUAGUUGUAAAUGAUUUUGAGCUAAUUCUGUCAUUCAUUGAUAUAGAAAUUGAUGUAUGUUUUGACAUUGGCAGGCCCUAAUUUGGUCCAAGAUGAGUACAGGACUUCCCAUUGAAAUCACAUCAUCAAUGAAGGGCCAAAAUUAUACUUCAUUUUGCAGGCUAGACAUAGAUAUUCAUAGGUACAAUGUUCUCUAAUUUCCAGCAAUUUGGGCUAUCAUUACCUGACAUGUCUAUAUUUUGUAUUUACUUUGACAAUAUAGUACACUAUUGUGAUUAAUCUUUUGCUAGGAACAUCCCUCACAUUCAUGUACAUGAAAAACAAGACAAGAAGGAGCGGUGGCAUGGAGCUGAAAUUCAGAUAGUUAUUGAGGGGAAUUGGACAACAUAUCGUGUAUGUAUUUCUUAGGUGAAGUAAUUCAUAUGCUUUGGAUCUAAUUCAAGUUGAGCACAAUACAUGCACUUGCAAUUACCCUUCAGAAACAUUUCAAUUUUCUAAGUGAGACUGCUCUGUCAUUUUUCUUUUAUCCUAUUGUAUUGGGGUUGAGGUGUGGAAAGAUGGCCAAUUGGAACUAUGUACACUUUGCCUCUCAUGCUAACUGUUUUUUACUUUGUUGCAGUCCAAGAUUUUGCACUACAUGCGUCAAAUGGCUGUUAUAACACCCUAUGCUGAGUUUCUUUUCAGAUUUCUGUCAGAUGCACCAGAGUAUGCUCUUUCACUCUUUCUCAAACAUACACGAACACACUUAUGGGCACAUACAUGUAUAGAUUCAUGCAUACAUGCAGACACACUUAAAAGAGAUGCAGUUUUUUGUUUUUUGAGAUUCAUAUCACUGAUUUAAUAAUUUCUUCAAUUUUUGUAAAGUAAAAAUGUGACGGUAAAAUUUGCGAGAAGGACAGACAUAAUGCCUCCGGUUCCUCUUGAGACCAAGUACCAUCCAUCAGCUGUUGAUUUGCUCCUGAUAAAGCGUCUUAUUGCAGAGACUUCGAAGCAGAAUCUCUUGCAAUUCCUUCAGCAUGAAUUUGUGAACAUUAGUAAAUCUCAUGCUGAGCGACUAAUUGGUAAGACAAACUUGAUUCCUCGAUGUCUGAUUAUACAACUGAGAAGACAAAAAUGCUCAUGUUAUUGUACAAUAUCUGGUGAAUUGGUGUCUUCCACGGGUUGGUGAAAGUGCGAGCAGAUUUAUGUUGGCUAAAUCAUGCUGAAACAGAUAUUCAUAUGUAAAUAUAUAUGUAUAAAUACAUACCACAAAGAGAGAGAGAGAGAGAGAGAGAGAGAGUGAGUUAACUAUGAGUACAACCUUUGAAAUUAAUAUACUUACAACCCACAUGCAUACUGUGUACACACACACACAUAUAUGGUGAUGUAAUCAAAGGGUUAUCUAUGAGUAUAAUUGCUUUAAGUUUAUACUGUGCCGAAUAUAUUCAUUGGCCGCUGUUCAUAUAUGUACGGCUUAAGAAAAAUUUUAUUAAAAGAGUUAAAAAGAAAUGUAUAUUCUGAAGAUGAAUGCCUUGGAUGACAGUGAACUUUGGUUAGUUGAACUGGUACGAAUCAGUUCCUUCCAUGGUGUAUAUUUUCUUGAUUCUGUAACUCUUGAAUGAACAUGUUUUGGUAUCUUUUAAAUGGAUAUUCAGUUACUGAUGAGUAUAUGAUGAGAUCUUCAUGAGUUCCUUCACAAAUGAAAAAAAAAAAAGGUGACUGAUAUAUCUAGCAUUUUAAUUUUAGGGGAAAUGGGACCAGAUUUCAGUCACAAAAUGCUGGUCAAGUCACUGACUUCGCAGCAAAUAGUUCGUAUCCAUCAGUUGUUUCGUCAAGCCAAGUUUGAUGAUCCAAGUGGUGAUGUAGGUUCAUCCAUUUGUCAAAGAACACACCUUUGCUCUUGCUUUUGUUAUUUAGAACAAUAUGUUUCUGGCUGAUUUUUCAAUUAUUUUGUUUGUAAAUUAUUCCAAUUUCUGCCUUUUGCAGUGUCUUAGUCCUGCAGGGGAAUACAACUUGCGCUUGGGAAUUAUCAAGGAAUUACAUCCAGACAUGGUUGCUACUUAUUCAGGAAGGUUGUACCUUUUAGCUGCAUUUCUAAAUCAAUAUUACUUUUGUUGACUUUUAAGAUAUAAAAGUGGAAGUUGAACAGUGGGUUUGCAACUUGCUCAGUGCUCAAGUAUUUGAAGGCCACCCCUUUCUUGUCGAAGCUGGAGUCAGUGUUGGUGGAAAAGAUGUUAAGCAAGUUAGUUCUUGAUCUCUUCUAUUUUUGAUUGUUGGUAAUACAUGUAUAAUCUGGUCCACUUUUGUUUUCAUGAUGUUAUCCAAAUAUUGUGUUUGGAACAUGAAAUUGAGUAUACUAGUGGUUUACCCACACAUUGAAAAUUUUUCAUGACUGUAAAUGCGGCAAAUUGCUUUAUAUUUCUGAUCAAAUAAUCCUGAUUUUUGAGAAAUGGUGAUAUAUCUUGCUAGGAUGAUAUAAUCAACCUGUUUUAUUUUCUAAAAGUUCAAGCUGAAAUUUUCAAUUGGUCUCUCAAAAGUUGCACCAGCAUUGCAUUGACUAAUGGGUAAAUGGGAGUUCAACCGUCUGGUCUCUGAGACUUGGUUAACAUGGAUCAAGCACAGUAGAGUAGCAAGUUCCUUAAUCUGUUUGUAGUAGUCCAGUUAAGAUUUGAUCUGUGAGGGAAAGUAUUACAAUGCCUGAAAUAUUGAUGUUAGAAACGGCUAUUUCAUCAUGUCCACAAGCACACUACAAUGAGCCCAAUGUAAUACUGAAAACCAGAAUGAUGAAAAACAAUCUCAAAUAUUGUGUCCAAGUUCUUCAGUAAUUCAGUUAACCUUUUUCCUUGAGGAGAAGAAAGGGGAUCUUUUAAAAAUUUAUUGUUCGUUACCUUCGUCUUUAUCCGUCCUUGCCUUGUAAAAAGAAUGCACAAGUCAAAGAAAACAGAACAGUGAUGACAAUUUUUAAGAGUGAUUGAUGAAACUCUAUUCCUACAAAUCUUUUAAUCUUUCCACUCCUUUCCUUUACAAUGAAGUCCAAAGUUAAAGUGCAUACUAAGAGGAUAAGCUUGUGUGAUCUCCUCUGACUUCUCCGAGGUUCACCUGGAUUUGCUCUCAAACUUUUUUGAAGCUGUAGGUUCUCAGCCAUCAAUGUUUUGAACUGACCAUUAUGGUCUUCUGUCUGUCAAUUUUGUAGGUUUAAUUUCAGAAUUUAUAAAGAACGUCUAUUGAUCACAUGAACAACUUUUAACUUGCAAGAAAGUUUUUUGGAUUGCCAACAACAGAAUUCUCUCCCUCCCCCAACACCCCCACCCCCAAAAAGAAAAAGGGAUUGCAAAUGUGUGUAAAUUCUUAGUGAGGUCAGCAUGAUCAUUAGAAAAUCUUGAUGGAGAUCAAUGUAGAAAUAUGAUACUCUUUGGGUUAUACAACUUGGCAUGGCUAUGAGAUACUAAAAGCAUAAACUCUAUUACUUCAAGUCUCAACUGAUGUCAUUUGAUAGGGGUUAAAUAUGCUAGAAACCUUCAGACAUAGACAAAACCAGGACUUGGAAAUUCGUAUAUAAUUUUCAUCAGUUAUCUCCCAUAACUUUGGGUUUCACAGACCCUCCACUUUUCUAGAUCGGCUUAAUUAUGUUGCAAUAGAUUUUGGCUACAUUAAUGCAUCCCCAUGCCCUUGUUUGAAGUCAAUAGAAACCUUAGCUCUCUUCCAAAUUGAUGCUCUAUCAAGUUCUUUUUUAUGAUUUGAUCAAAGAGUAGCUUGCCAAUCUAUUGAACAUAUCUAGUUUCUUAAUUGUAUGAUAUCUUGUCCCUUAGUACGUUGAACAGCAAUUUUGUUGGUUCUCGAUCGAUUAUUUUCCAAGUUACUGGACCAGUUGACCCUUUCUAAGUAAACAUGAAUGUGUGUGUGUGUGUUUUUUUUAAACUUUACAUAAACCUGGUUAUUAUAGGGUGUGAACAUAUUCCGAUUUGCUAACCGGAUUCCACUUCUGUUCGAGCAAGGUGCUGAUGUUGUCACUCGAACUGCUUUGAAGAGAAUUAAGUAAGAUAAGCUAUAAUUUUUAGACAUUUUUCUUGGUUGUAGUAUAUCUCUUUUUUGCUAUAUUAAUGUAGAAAAGGAUAAGUUCAUAAUUUUGGGCAUUUUUCCUUUCCCACUGAAAGAUGUGUAGAAAGGAAUAAGUUAUAAUGUUUUAGCCAAAAUUUGGUUUGAAUUCUGUUUUUCAGUUGGAAUAGCUACAAAAUAAACCAGGUGCAGGACAAGAUUGGUGUAUUUGUCAGCAUUGUAAGCACCAAAAUACCUUUUAAAGGGACCGGGAAGGAAUACAUUGGAGAUGACAUAAGUGAGAUAGCUGCUGCUGUUAAGGUAUAGGUUAGAUUGUAAGAAUACUAUUUGCAGUGGUCAGAAACUCUUUGGGGCCUCACACUAUUAUAAAAACAGACAUCCAUUCAGCAGUGCUGUACUCAACUGAAAUCCAAGAUCCUUAAAAGAAUUCAGGCUCGGGAGCAGCAGGAGAGGAAGCGAAAUUUGAGCAAGUUCGUCAUUUGGUUGAAUGGUAACUAAUCUUAACUGUACUUGCUAAGCUGAAUUGUAUCUCUGCUGGCUGCAGGUAUAUUCCUAAUGUUACAGGUGCCAUAUACGACGUUCUGAAAGAGAUGUCACAUUUGCAUGCAUCUAAAAGGAAGCGUUAUGCUAAUGAGGAUGCAGAAGUUCUGAAUAAGGUUUCAAAUCAUAUAAUUACAAGAGAAACACUUGGUGAAAAGCUUGCACAGCAUGUCGAACAGGUGAGCUGAUUUAUAUUAUUGUCCUCUAGUUCUGUUCAAAUAGGCAUAAGCAUUUUUCUUGUUUGUCUAUCUUAUGUUGUCUCUCUGGCUUGACAAUGGUCAAUUAUUGUUUAAUUUAUUUUCCUGUGCAUAGUUUAUUUGGUUCGAAAACAUAAACAUUUACUAUAUACUUGAUUUUUCCUUUUUCCUGGCAAAAUUUCUUUUUCAACCUGUCUUUUCUGGCCACCUCUUCCGUUUCAGUUCUCCAAAAAAAUGAUCCAAUGCUCAGAGUCAAAGAUCAGUAUGAAAAAUUUCAUGACUACUCCUUUAGCUUUUCCAUGAAUAUACGUUAAGCCUAUAUAUAUAUAUAUAUAUAUAUUGAAGGUACACAAGCACCUUGAACUACUGGCCUUUUUCCAAAAACAUAAAAAAAUUUCUUUCUAACUGGUGGAAUGCCAGUUUAUUUUCUUGUGCUCUGUUUGUUUUCAUGUGAUUAUUUUGAUUGCUACAUGCUAGCCAAUAUCUAUGGAAAAACAUCCAUUAAUAGCUGGAUAGAUUUUAUUUAUCAGCCCUUAAUGUUCAGUUGUGAGAAAAUACAAGGGUUAUUCCCUUUCUUUUGGCUGCAAAGCAUGUGAAGCAGCUGAUAUCACUAGUUUUGUUUCCUGCGAUAUCAAAAGCAUCUAUCUGAUGCCUGUAAUUUAACUUUUGAUGCCUAGAAAUUCUCAAUCUCCCUAUGUUGUGUUAGACGUUAAUUUUAUUUUGGAACAUGAUUUCUCAUCUUUGGUUCCAUUUGACUAACGCUAUUUUUCCAGGUGGACUAUGAAAUGGCUCUGGAAUAUGCCACACAAAGCGGAGUGAAUGAGGAACCCAGGGAAAAUAUCUAUAUACAAACACUGGAAGGAGAAAGUAAAUUUGUUGAUUUCCAGAGUCCUGUAUUUGUUUUCAGACUUUUCCAAUAGAUUAUUUUAUACAAAUCCCUGCGUUAAGGGAUGAGGAACUUUUCUCCUUUCUUACAGGUAGUCUUCUUGUUUACUUAUCCAGACAUGUAUUGAGUUUACUUCAAACUUCCAAGGUAUAUUAGAUAGGUACUCUAUCCCAAUCCAUUAUCAAAGUCAGGGAAAUGACGUUGCUGUAUUAAACCUAUUUCAACUUUGAACCCUGAAUUUCGAAUGAAAUAGAUUAGUUGAUUCUUUAUUGGUAGAAGUUACAAAGAUGGGAGUGCCAACUCAAUUUUGUCUCCUCUAUUGCUGCGUAAUAACAUCUGCAGCAUUUUUGUUGUAUGUGAAACUCAAAUUUCAUCACAUUCCACAGCUCGGGGAUCUCUUACCCGACAAUCUCUCCUUUCAUGGCUAAGGAGAGAGCAUUAAGUUUUCCCCCACUUUCCACAGUCACACCAGGCAUGGCCACAGCUCUACUUCCUACAAACCCACCAUCUUCAAUAUCAAUUUUUUCAUACUUCACUUUGCCUCCUUCACCUUCAUAGAUGUGUCCAAAGAGCAAAGCUUCUCUCUCUACAGAACCGUAUUUUUCUAUCUUCACCAUUUCAGGAUUGAGCAAAGCUUCUGUGCUGUCUACGUAUGCUCCUUGGUCCCAAGCAACUUCUGAACCCAGAGUUUUCAUCCAAAUCCCAAACAGAAACGAUCCACUUGUCAUUCCCAUCAAAUAUUCUGCAACUAAAGUCCUUAUAGCCUGCCAUAUGGUGUCCAUAUAGGUAGCUUUACUCCAGAUCAGAACAGUUUCACCUUCUUCCUUCUUCCCUACCAGAAUCCAUUUGGUCAGAGUGCAUAAAAGUCCACCUAAAAGUCCCGAGAAAACCCAGAACAAAGGCAACACCCAGAUUUUCUUGCUUUCAUUUAUUGAAAAGAUGCUGUUAAAUGGGAUAUUGAUCACUAGUCCCAAGAGAAAAUAUGGCAGGAAAAUUUGCAGCAGGGGUUGAACAGACAUAAGCCACAAUGUUGUGUACCAGGUUCUAGCCAAUGUCACUUUGCUCAAUUCCUUUUUCUCUAACCUCGCUGCCAUGGGACAGCCAGAGAAAUCCAGUUUAACAUCAGUUCGAUCCAGGAAAAUCCUCCAUGUCUCUGGAAGUGGCUUGCUGUUUCUUAAAUGUUGGCAUAUCUCAUAGACUACUGAACGGCCAUGAUCAAGUGAGGCACUUUGAUUGUAAGACGUAGCCCUGAUGACAUCCACUUCGUGGCAUCGAAAAAAUGGGUUGAACUCCAGGCCAUCCGAUUCUUCCUUGGUCAGCAUUUCAUCAAUAAUUAUCUCUCCCACCUCCAUAUAUGGAAAUUCAGUUUCAUCCCAUGGCUUGGUACAGUCUAGUGCAAUCUCAGUUAUACUUGCAUCCUCAGGAACAGGCCGAAUUUGCAACUGAAGAACGUAACGGACCUUGUCAGGAGAAUUCACGCGACACUGGAAAUCUUCAGCUAAAAAGAGUAGGGGGCGAGUGUCUUUCUCAUCUCUAGGGAUUGAACCAGUAUCGGGUGGAAGUAUACCCAUAGGCUCCACCUUGCCCGAGUCCUCAUUGAUGUUCUUGUCGAAGGGCCUUAACUUGAAUCUGACAUACAUUUCUUGUCCAUUCUCAAAUCUAAAUAGUCUGCUGAAAUUGGAGUAGUAAUGAAGUUCAGCAUAAGAGUCUGGCUGUCGAAGAGAUCCCCACAUAGCAUCCCGUAC